UGAAGUUGUGAAGUUUUGGUAACUUUAGUCUUAUACAGCCACACAUCUGUCAGCUCCUCCCAUCACCCAUGACCUUUCCAGAGCAGCAGACAGAUGAAAGUUCCCAUGAACGUAUGUUUGAUUUUAGUUUGUAUAGACAGUGUGAACACUGCCUGACCCCCCUCAAAAAAAGUCACCACCUGGAUUUAAGUGAGCGAACAGAAAGCAAUUAUAAGCGAGCAACACGUCACGGCGAUUCGUCUGUGUGGCGGCCGUGUUUCACUGGCUCUGCUCGACAUGUUCCUUGUCCAAGUUGGCUUCGACGGAGGGGACGGGUGAAACAGCGGGUGAUGUCCGAUGGCAUCUUGAUGAAGAAUCUGCAUGCGGUGUCUGAAUUCGGGCUGUUUUGCGGUCAAGCUGGUGCAGGGAGGUGUGUGUUGCACCACUGAUUAAUGUGAUUGCAUAUGUCACCUUGAGAGAGCUCUGGUUUUACUCGAUAGCAGUUUGCUUAAGCCUGGCCCCUAACCUCGUCAAUAGGUGGCGCUAGGGAGCCAACCAACCUGUCCCACAUGAAGAAGAAUCAUAGAGACCUUCAUUGAAUACUGUAUACUUUUAAUUGAACAACCUAACUCUGUUAGUAACUAAUAUGUAUAAUCUGCAAUAAAGGCGUAGAUAACAGA